rnacentral:rRNA from 1 species
CCAAUAGCGUAUAUUAAAGUUGUUGCAGUUAAAAAGCUCGUAGUUGAAUUUCGGGGUUAGUAGGUUGGUCAUGCCUCUGGUAUGUACUGGUCUCACUGAUUCCUCCUUCCUGAUGAACCGUAAUGCCAUUAAUUUGGUGUUGCGGGGAAUUUGGACUGUUACUUUGAAAAAAUUAGAGUGUUUAAAGCAAGCUAACGCUUGAAUACAUUAGCAUGGAAUAAUGAAAUAGGACGUUCGAUCCUAUUUUGUUGGUUUCUAGGAUUGACGUAAUGAUUAAUAGGGAUAGUUGGGGGAAUUAGUAUUCAAUUGGCAGAGGUGAAAUUCUUGGAUUUAUUGAAGACUAACUACUGCGAAAGCAUUUGCCAAGGAUGUUUUCAUUAAUCAAGAACGAAAGUUAGGGGAUCGAAGACGAUCAGAUACCGUCGUAGUCUUAACCAUAAACUAUGCCGACUAGGGAUCGGAUGAUGUUAAUUUUUUAAUGACUCAUUCGGCGCCUUACG